GGUGAGAUACAGCUCAGUGGUAGAGUACUUGUCUAGAACACAGGAGACCUAGGGUUGUUCACCAGUUGAACAAAACACAAUCUUACCA
rnacentral:tRNA from 1 species